CCCACUGCCGGCGCGUCGAGAGCCCAGCAGCUCUUGAGUCCGGGAAGCAAGGGUGGGCGGAGGGAGGAGCCGGUGGCAAGGACCCAGACCUGGACGACCCAGCGGAGUGCCGAGCCAGCGGAGCUGCUUGGAAUAGUGAUGCUCAGCCUGGAAACCAUGAAUUUGCU